rnacentral:piRNA from 1 species
GAGCUGCUAUGGUUUGAACAAGAAUG